rnacentral:rRNA from 1 species
GACGUAGGGCGCGAGCGUUGUCCGGAUUUAUUGGGCGUAAGGAGCUCGUAGGCGGCUUGUCGCGUCGACCGUGAAAACUUGGGGCUCAACCCCAAGCCUGCGGUCGAUACGGGCAGGCUAGAGUUCGGUAGGGGAGACUGGAAUUCCUGGUGUAGCGGUGAAAUGCGCAGAUAUCAGGAGGAACACCGAUGGCGAAGGCAGGUCUCUGGGCCGAUACUGACGCUGAGGAGCGAAAGCGUGGGGAGCGAACAGG